rnacentral:rRNA from 1 species
UACGGAGGGUGCAAGCGUUAUCCGGAUUCACUGGGUUUAAAGGGCGCGUAGGCGGCCUGGCAAGUGGAUGGUGAAAUCCCUCGGCUUAACCGAGGAACUGCCAUCCAGACUGCUUGGCUUGAGACCGGGAGAGGUGAGUGGAAUUCCCAGUGUAGCGGUGAAAUGCGUAGAUAUUGGGAGGAACACCAGUGGCGAAGGCGGCUCACUGGACCGGUACUGACGCUGAGGCGCGAAAGCGUGGGGAGCAAACGGG